UACAGAGGGUGCAAGCGUUAAUCGGAGUUACUGGGCGUAAAGGGCGCGUAGGCGGUUAUUUAAGUUGGAUGUGAAAUCCCUGGGCUUAACCUAGGAACUGCAUUCGAUACUGAGUAACUGGAGUACUGUAGAGGGUAGUGGAAUUUCCGGUGUAGCGGUGAAAUUCGUAGAUAUUCGGCGGAACACCAGUGGCGAAGGCGACUCACUGGCCCGAUACUGACGCUGAGGCGCGAAAGCGUGGGGAGCAAACAGG
rnacentral:rRNA from 1 species